rnacentral:rRNA from 2 species
GUUAAGAAGGCUGCCUUCUACAUGCAAGUCGAAAGGACUGAUUAGAAGCUUGCUUCUAUGACGUUAGCGGCGGACGGGUGAGUAACACGUGGGCAACCUGCCUGUAAGACUGGGAUAACUUCGGGAAACCGAAGCUAAUACCGGAUAGGAUCUUCUCCUUCAUGGGAGAUGAUUGAAAGAUGGUUUCGGCUAUCACUUACAGAUGGGCCCGCGGUGCAUUAGCUAGUUGGUGAGGUAACGGCUCACCAAGGCAACGAUGCAUAGCCGACCUGAGAGGGUGAUCGGCCACACUGGGACUGAGACACGGCCCAGACUCCUACGGGAGGCAGCAGUAGGGAAUCUUCCGCAAUGGAAGAAAGUCAGACGGAGCAACGCCGCGUGAGUGAUGAAGGCUAUCGGGUCGUAAAACUCUGUUGGUGGGGAAGAACAAGUACGAGAAUAACUGCUCGUACCCUGACGGUACCUAACCAGAAAGCCACGGCUAACUACGUGCCAGCAGCCGCGGUAAUACGUAGGUGGCAAGCGUUAUCAGAAAUUAUUGGGCGUAAAGCGCGCGCAGGCCGUUUCUUAAGUCUGAUGUGAAAGCCCACGGCUCAACCGUGGAGGGUCAUUGGAAACUGGGGAACUUGAGUGCAGAAGAGAAAAGCGGAAUUCCACGUGUAGCGGUGAAAUGCGUAGAGAUGUGAAGGAACACCAAUGGAGAAGGCGGCUUUUUGGUCUGUAACUGACGCUGAGGCGCGAAAGCGUGGGGAGCAAACAGGACUACAUACCCUGGUACUCCACGCCCUAAACGAUGAGCGCUAAGUGUUAGAGGGUUUCCGCCCUUUAGUGCUGCAGCUAACGCAUUAAGCACUCCGCCUGGGGAGUACGGUCGCAAGACUGAAACUCAAAGGAAUUGACGGGGGCCCGCACAAGCCGUCGACCAUAUGGUUUAAUUCGAAGCAACGCCAAGAACCUUACCAGGCCUGGACAUCCUCUGACAACUCUAGAGAUAGAGCGGUCCCCUUCGGGGGACAGAAUGACAGGUCGUGCAUGGUUGUCCUCAGCUCGUGUCGUGAGAUGUUGGGUUAAGUCCCGCAACGAGCGCAACCCUUGAUCUAACUUGACCUAGCAUCUAGUCGGGAACAAUACUAAGGUCACAUGCCGGUCGACAAACAGGAGGAAGGUGGGGAUCACGUCAAAUACAUCAUGCCCCUUAUGACCUGGGCUACACACGUGCUACAAUGGAUGGUACAAAGGGCUGCAAGACCGCGAGGUCAAGCCAAUCCCAUAAAACCAUUCUCAGUUCGGAUUGUAGGCUGCAACUCGCCUACAUGAAGCUGGAAUCGCUAGUAAUCGCGGAUCAGCAUGCCGCGGUGAAUACGUUCCCGGGCCUUGUACACACCGCCCGUCACACCACGAGAGUUUGUAACACCCGAAGUCGGUGGAGUAACCGUAAGGAGCUAUCCGCCUAAGGUAGGACAGAUGAUUGG